ACAUCGCGGCGUAAGAGCUAAGUUGCGAGCAGAAUCUGACAGUGUUGCAAGUGCUAGUUUCUUUAGCUAUACAAAAUUACAGGAUUGAGCUCCUAGAGGCCAUUCAGAUUUUUUUUUUCUUUCAGUUCGUUUAAAGAUCAUAUAUAUAGAAUAGAAAUGAAAGAUGGUGGAUUUCAGAUUUUAAAUGUCAUUACAUUGUUUUAACCAGACAUAUGUAAACUGCCAAAUCGAGAUGCUUGCUUUGCUCUCUUGAAAUGGGAUGAUCAAUAUGUUUUGAAGG
rnacentral:sRNA from 1 species